GUCUGGGCCUGGUGGGAGUUGUCAUCCGACAACUUUUGGAAGGCACCACAUCGGCUGUCUCUGUCCUAGAUGUAUAAGAUCGGCUCUUGGGCCAGUUUUGCCUCUACUUAAUAAGUAAAAACCUCCUUGUUCUCUUUUUGGUCAUCCUCCUUCACCAGAGACUACAUUAACUACAGGGGUAGCAAGCUGACGUGGAUUCUCCAGAAUUCACUAGAUGGAAAUACUAAGACGGUGAUUACGGUAUCUGCACAGUCACUCAGACAUCCUUGGAAGAAACUCUUAGCACUUUCCAGGUAAAACUAGACAGUUCCGUUUCCUUCCCCGAAAUGUUUUGUGGGCAAAGUUGCCCAAAGUAGCAAGUAGGCAAGAAGUUCUUUCCCUCUUUAAACUGGCAUGCUUUGUUCUAGUGUAUGUAUCUGCAGUUAUAGAACUGUGAGAAAUCAGACUUCCUCUUCAAAGGGAAGUAAUAUAGCACUUCCCCUAAUAGCUGGGGUGGAUAUUGACGUUUGCAGAAGCAACCCAACCCCUCCAUCUCUUAAAAAGAGAGUCUAUGAAGAUUAAGCUUUCAUGGUAGUCAGGGAGUCUCGAAUAUCAGGCAGAAAAGGAAAGGUGGGGGAAUGGGCUACUUGAGCUCCUGAUAGCUUAUCUGUUGCCCUCCAGAUGUUGGAGGACUCCAGCUCCCAUCAGCCAUGGUCAUCAUGGUCAGAUGAUGGGAGUUGUAGUUCAACAACAUCUGGAGGGCACCAGGUUGGCUAACCUAGGCUUCUCCCUUCUAUGAGAGGUGAAGGUAUGCUGCAACAUUUCGUUUAAUGGGUCCCUUUUGUAUUUACUGUAAUAGCAAAUGUUGAUUUUUAAGAUUCCAUACUUCUGUAAUUUUCGAAAAGAGAUUUUAACAAAGGUAAUUUUUUCUGACUUCUCCUUCAAAGAGUGGUUCUGACUGCAUGUGCCUAUCUCUCCUAGUUUGCGAGUACAGCAAAAAAUGUGGAAAAUCUUAAGAGAGAUCGUUGAAAUGAUGCCUAGAAGAAGUAAGUUGUUUACUUUGAAAUCUGAGUUCUAGGCUGGAACAGGUCAAAUUGCAUCUAUAUCGUUUUGUUUUGUUUUGUUUUGUUUUUAAAUAGGGCUCAUGCUCUGUUUUGCCAGCAAUUGCACCUUAAAAGCGUAGCAUUCUUUCAGUUGGUGACUCGGAUUACAAAACUUUUUCUGUUUUGGGUCAGCUGCCUAUACCAAGUGAGGAGGCCGUAAUCUGUGUUUAGACGCACUCUCCAUUUUAAGAGUCUGGCCGAAUUUUAAUGGCAACCCUCAAUAAAGUUGACAACCAUUUUGUGCAGGGAUUCUAUUCCCGGCCCCACAUACGUUGGAGGGGCAGGUAUAAGUGUACCCCAGCCCUGUUACACCCUUUUCGUGACAUGCUGAGCAAAGUUUUUGGGUCACUUCCAGGUUCGUUGCCAUAUGCAAUCGCAUGUCUUUCGGAUGUGAAUUAAUCGGUUGUUGCGUGUAUGCAACCCUUUCCGCACUGGGGGUGGUGCAGACUUAAUUUCAAAGAACUGACUUGAGGAACUUAAAUGCUUUCAUUGUUUAAUGCUGAUGUUUAACCUUCACAGCCAUUAGUACUUACAGUACGUUAUUACCAUCACAGUACAGUGGUACCUUUGGUUACGUACUUAAUUCGUUCUGGAGGUCCAUUCUUAACCUGAAACUGUUCUUAACCUGAAGCACCGCUUUAGCUAAUGGGGCCUCCUGCUGCCGCCGCACCAUCGGAGAACAAUUUCUGUUCUCAUCCUGAAGCAAAGUUCUUAACCUGAAGCACUAUUUCUGGGUUAGCGGAGUCUGUAACCUGAAGCGUAUGUAACCCGAGGUACAACUGUAAUAUACAAAUUAACAGCCACAAUCCUCACAAGCAAGAAGGGGUCUACACCAAAACACACAGGUAUCCUAUCCUUACUAGGAACAUCGUGUGCCUUUCAACCUUUGGUACUGAUGCUUUUCCUUUCUGGUUUCAUCACAGUCCCAGCUGGCACAGAUCCUUGAAGAGAAGAAGGCUCUUGAAAACGAGCAGCAGGAGAAAAUAAGGAUUGUCACCGAGAUGCUGGUGACACCAUCUGCUUCUUCUGCAUCAGCAGAGGAGUUCAAGUUAAUAUUUAAACAUUUAAAUGUUGUGGUACCUUCGGGGGAAGACUGGUGGCUCUUCCACAUUUCUUGUCUCAGCUGUUAUUAAGUAACCAAAUUGGGCGAGGGACGCCUGGGAAUGGCUAGAAGGGUGCCACUGUAGAAAAGGACCUUCUGAUGUGUGGAAGCUUAACCUAGCUCAGUUGAGGCAUGCUUGAAGCAGGAAGUUCAUCCCGGGAAGCUGGUAUAUCUCCAGUGAGCUGGUGGUGGUAGCCUUGCAUGUAUAAUCAAUCGGUGGAGUCUCCUUCUUUGGAGGUCUUUAAGCAGAGGCUUGACAACCAUAUGUCAGGAGUGCUCUGAUGGUGUUUCCUGCUUGGCAGGGGGUUGGACUCGAUGGCCCUUGUGGUCUCUUCCAAUUCUAUGAUUCUAUGGAACACUAUUGUUUAGUCUUAGCCAAAUGCCUUGAAUUCUUUAGUCGGUUUGUCAAUUUUAAUGUAAUGCUGCACCUAAACCCCCAUCAAACUGGGAAAUGGAAUGGUGUGCCUAAACACCUUGCACUUCUGGUGUUUUUCCUCCUUCUUGCUUUAUCAGGAGGAAGUAUUGUCAAAAGACUUGCAGAUCAAGGAGCGAAAGAAUAAAAUUGAAGCACUGGAAAGCCACAUUAGUGAGCUACAAAAGAUUUUGAAUAACACGGGGGCUGAAAUGGAAAAAAUGAAGCAGGCUCUCAGUGAUGCUGUGGCAGUGAGACAAUGGUUAACAAUCACCAGCAGUUUAAAUGCCAGAUAGAAAUAGGCUCCCAAAGUUGUACAGUAGCAGCAGCAACUUCCUCCUACUAGACAAGAAUAAGUUAUUCACUUAAGUAAACUUACAGAGCCUUCGAAGCACAGCAAAGAACUUUCAAGCAACCCUUUGAAUGCAUCCUGCACUGCUUCCUAGGCGUAGUUUCUUCAGUAUUGCGUUAAGCACUUCAACUUGCAAUGAAGCAGCAGCAGCAUGAGGCUGUGUGGAAGCCCUUUCCCUCAAACACCUCCCUGCUGCUCCUGAAACCUCUUUCAAGCAGAGAGCUAAUUUUGAUUAUUAUUCUCUUCUAUUGCCUCUUGCUCUCUUUCUGCCUCUUUCAAGAGCCUCAAACUCAUAAAUGGAUAUGUUUGCCUUCAGCUGUCUGAGCUCACAUACCAGCUGCUCUUUCUCUAGUCGUCAUAAUAAUAUAAUAUUAUUAUUACGGUACAACGACCCAUAACAUAGAUACAGAAUAAAAUACAGACUCAUAUAGACAACCCCCCACAGGAAAGGUAGACCAAAGUGUUAUUUGUUUAGUCAUGGGUAUGUUGAUCUUUGAUUCGUAUGACUACUGAAAGAAACUUUGCCACAGCCACUGUGAUAUCAUUGGACUUGUCCAGAAGAUAUUUGAUAUAGUAGGCUUCAGAUUGAGCCAGCCGAUUUGCCAGUAGUGGUUUAAUCAAUAGUUCCCUCGCUUGAUCAUAUUGUCCGCUAUGCAAUAAAAUAUGCCUCAUGCAGUCGACAUCCUGAGAGCAUACACAGAUCCUAUUUUGAUAAGGGAUACCUCUCAGCCUGCCAUUUAACACUUCGGAUGGGAAUACAUUUAAUCUGGCUUUGGUGAAAAGACGCCGAUAUGUUGGUACAAAUUUCUAAGAUAUGCUGGUGUUUGAAAAUUGAACCCAUAGUGAAUUCCUACUGCUAAUGGGCCACAGUUAACAUGAGAUUGAGAUCGGAGAUCACUAUGUGAUAUGUCCCAGAGCCUUUGCCUCAGAGAUUCAAGGGCGGUAUCAUAGCCCACAUGGUACAGGAGAGAAGGUGGCAUACCAAGCCAAGUGGCUGUUCUAACCAUCAUUUUCAUCCAUGAGCUGGUAAACUCCUCGUUGCUUAGGUAUGGAAGUAACCCCUUCCCUAGGCCAAAGACUGAGAUCUUGAGCCAGUAUCUCAGGGAAGCCCACCGUGCUUUAGUUCAUAGAGGACAUUCACCUGUUUCUAAAAAUAGUUUUGCAUUUGGAACACAAUUUGGAACUUGUAGGAGGGACUGGAGAAACUUUGCCUUUCUCACACCAUAAAUAUGCAUGCCAACCAAAUCGGUUGUCAUGUCCUUCCGGAUCUAAUAAAUCAGUAUUUUCUAAUUUGAUCCAGUCCCAGAUCCAAGUAAUGCAGCUUGCCUCAUAGCAAAAUUUUCAGUCUGGAAGACAGCCAUUUUUUCAUAUGUGGUGGAAUUGUAAAAAUAAUUAUUGGGAUAUGAUUUAUAAUGAAAUGAAAAAAAUGUUCAAGUUAACCUUUGUUAAAAGUUCAGUAGCAUUUUUAUUAGAUAUUGUAGGGCAAUAUUUACCAAAAGAUAAGAAUCUAUUUAUGUAUGCAACAACAGUGGCCAGAAUUCUACUACCUCAAAGAUGGAAAAGCGACAAAAUACCAACAAAAAGGAAAUUGGCAAGAAGAGUUGAUGGAAUACGCUGAAAUGGCGAAGUUAACUGAGAGACUCAAAGUUAAGGACAGUAACGACUUUUAAAAAGAUUGCGAACAUUAUACACACACACACACACACACACACACACACAGAAACAAUGCACCGAAAUGAACUAAUUUGCAGGAUUCGAGUAAUCCACUUACAAUGGACAUAUAUAAAUAGAAAAUAAUAAUAUGAGG